AACGAACGCUGGCGGCAGGCUUAACACAUGCAAGUCGAGCGCCCCGCGAGGGGAGCGGCAGACGGGUGAGUAACGCGUGGGAAUCUACCCAUCUCUACGGAAUAACGCAUGGAAACGUGUGCUAAUACCGUAUACGUCCUUCGGGAGAAAGGUUUAUCGGAGAUGGAUGGGCCCGCGUUGGAUUAGCUAGGUGGUGGGGUAAAGGCCUACCAAGGCGACGAUCCAUAGCUGGUCUGAGAGGAUGAUCAGCCACACUGGGACGGAGACACGGCCCAGACUCCUACGGGAGGCAGCAGUGGGGAAUAUUGGACAAUGGGCGCAAGCCUGAUCCAGCCAUGCCGCGUGAGUGAUGAAGGCCCUAGGGUUGUAAAGCUCUUUCACCGGUGAAGAUAAUGACGGUAACCGGAGAAGAAGCCCCGGCUAACUUCGUGCCAGCCGCCGCCGUAAGAC
rnacentral:rRNA from 1 species